rnacentral:rRNA from 1 species
AUUGAACGCUGGCGGCAGGCCUAACACAUGCAAGUCGAACGAGUGGCGGACGGGUGAGUAAUGUCUGGGAAACUGCCCGAUGGAGGGGGAUAACUACUGGAAACGGUAGAUAAUACCGCAAACCAUCAGAUGUGCCCAGAUGGGAUUCGCUUGUUGGUGGGGUAACGGCUCACCAAGUCGACGAUCCCUAGCUGGUCUGCGCGGAUUACCGGCCACCCUGUAACUGAGCCACGGUCCAGACUCCUCCGGUGGGCAGCUGUGGUGACUAUUGCACAGUGGGCGCAAGCCUGAUGCAGCCAGGCCGCGUGUAUGAAGAAGGCCUUCGGGUUGUAAAGUACUUUCAGCGCGGAGGCGUUACCCGCAGAAGAAGCACCGGCUAACUCCGUGCCAGCAGCCGCGGUAAUAC